rnacentral:rRNA from 1 species
UCCAGACUCCUACGGGAGGCAGCAGUGAGGAAUAUUGGUCAAUGGGAGGAAUCCUGAACCAGCCAUGCCGCGUGCAGGACGACAGCUCUACGAGUUGUAAACUGCUUUUGUACCGGGGUAAAAUGCCUUACGAGUAGGGUUUUGAAAGUACGGUACGAAUAAGGAUCGGCUAACUCCGUGCCAGCAGCCGCGGUAAUACGGAGGAUGCGAGCGUUAUCCGGAUUUAUUGGGUUUAAAGGGUGCGUAGGCGGGAUGCCAAGUCAGCGGUAAAAAUGCGGUGCUCAACGCCGUCGAGCCGUUGAAACUGGCGUUCUUGAGUGGGCGAGAAGUAUGCGGAAUGCGUGGUGUAGCGGUGAAAUGCAUAGAUAUCACGCAGAACUCCGAUUGCGAAGGCAGCAUACCGGCGCCCUACUGACGCUGAGGCACGAAAGCGUGGGUAUCGAACAGGAUUAGAUACCCCAGUA